GUGACCUCGAAUCAGGUAG
rnacentral:rRNA from 1 species